ACAUACAAUCAUACCAUGUUGAACACCCUGAUCUCACCUGAUUUUGGAUGCUAAGCAAGUCAAUCCUGGUUAGUACUUGGAUGAGAGACAUCCCAGCACUGAUUUGUA
ensembl:rRNA 5S_rRNA 5S ribosomal RNA